rnacentral:rRNA from 1 species
AACGCUAGCUACAGGCUUAACACAUGCAAGUCGAGGGGUAACAAGAGGAAAGCUUGCUUUUCUUGUUGACGACCGGCGCACGGGUGAGUAACGCGUAUCCAACCUGCCUAUAACUAGGGAAUAACCUUGCGAAAGUAAGACUAAUACCCUAUGAUUUCCUUUGAUGACAUCAGAUUAGGAAUAAAGAUUUAUCGGUUAUAGAUGGGGAUGCGUCUGAUUAGCUUGUUGGCGGGGUAACGGCCCACCAAGGCAACGAUCAGUAGGGGUUCUGAGAGGAAGGUCCCCCACAUUGGAACUGAGACACGGUCCAAACUCCUACGGGAGGCAGCAGUGAGGAAUAUUGGUCAAUGGGCGGAAGCCUGAACCAGCCAAGUAGCGUGCAGGAUGACGGCCCUAUGGGUUGUAAACUGCUUUUAUACAGGAAUAAAGUUAGCCACGUGUGGUUAUUUGUAGGUACUGUAUGAAUAAGGACCGGCUAAUUCCGUGCCAGCAGCCGCGGUAAUACGGAAGGUCCAGGCGUUAUCCGGAUUUAUUGGGUUUAAAGGGAGCGUAGAUGGAUUUUUAAGUCAGUUGUGAAAGUUUGCGGCUCAACCGUAAAAUUGCAGUUGAUACUGGAAGUCUUGAGUACAGAUGAGGUAGGCGGAAUUCGUGGUGUAGCGGUGAAAUGCUUAGAUAUCACGAAGAACUCCGAUUG